GUUUAGUGGUUAUAUAUCAUUAGCACUUGGAAGGAUUCUUGGUCUCGGAGCUCGAUUUGGGGUCUAUGAAAUCAUCACUGCCUUUUAUAACGGUAAUUCCUAUAUUUUUUCUGCAAAUCAAUUGUGUGGUAAAUAGCAUUUUAUGAUUCAACUUUUUAGGAAAUACUCACAUAAGAAACUAGUAUUGCUUUGUUCCAAAUGACUAUAUGUUCCUCUUUAUAAAACUAGUCUUCUGCACAGGUAUUUUACCCUCUUACUCUCUUUCUUUUUGUUUAUAUAUUGAUAUAUAGAUUUACUUCUAACUCACAAGCCAGGGCAUUCAUAAUUGAGCUAUUAAAUUUGAAAUCUUUACCCGGAGCCAGUAGAAAAAGGCCUUUGUGUUCAAAUGUAUUGCCGAUGCCUGAUUGUUUGGUUUUUGAUAGUCACUCCACUAUCAUUCAUUGAACACAUAAACAUUGCCACUUAGUAGGAUAAAGCUUGGUUUUUGAAUGUUGACUUUUUGCAAAGU